rnacentral:lncRNA from 1 species
AUGCUUGGAUAUCAGUUCUAUCACUUUUCUUGCUGGUAUUACUUCCCCGUUUACCACCUGAGCAAGCUUACAGGUGUUCUUCACGUUGGUAUUGAUCGGAAAGCUCUACAGAAAAGCAAUGAUACGAAACAAUCAAAGCUUCCGAUCUUCAAGAUAAGCGUGACGUCUUGGCUGGUGUUCUGCGUGUGGGCGGUGCUCAACGCCAAAGUGGUGGAUCACGUGUCGGAUAUGACGAGGACAGGGAUGAGGAAGUACAACUCGUGCUUCGACGAAGUCUGCUCGGAGAGUGUGUGCCGCUCGGCGUGCGCCCACUACGCCAUUGCGUGGGUGGCCGAGACCCACUGCGCCCUCAGCCUCCUCCUGGGGCUCGUCUAUCGCCCGGCCAAGCUUCGCAAGCUCCUCAACGACCUCUAUUACCAAUGCACCCUCGUCAGAGUCACUUUCCCCAUCCAGAUCUGCAUCAGCACAUUCGUAUUGCUUGGUAUUCACGCCUGCACUUUCUGGAUGCAAUGGCAACGGAACAAUUAUGGAGUGGGGUUUCUCCACCGCUUCGGGUAUGCCUACAUUGCUAUGAUCACCCCCAUCAUCCAUGAGACCUUCAUAGCUGCGCUCGUUACCUGCGUCGAGGUUCUCUUCAAAAACUUCAACGAUCAAAUCGAUCGUCUAUGUACCCUCGACUCCGUUGCCGUUUUCCAAGAGGACAUGACUUCCAAAAUUGAAGCGCUCACGCACAGGCACUGGAAGAUCACGAAGCUGGCGGUGGACCUGAAUCGAUGUUACACGAUCGACUUCCUCAUAUCAACACUGAAUUUCGUGCUGAGGACUAUCUACUUCUGCUUCUUGAACCUUAAAUUCUUGGUCUCGGCACCCAAACAUAAGCGUUCGAUCAAUGUCCCGAAACCAAUGACAAUCAUUUUUUUCUGUCCGUCGUCGCGAAAUAUAUUUGGGUCUGUUACCGCUGUGAUUUGGCCUGCAUGGAGAUGA